CUUAGUGGCGGACGGGUGAGUAACGCGUGGGUAACCUGCCUUACACUGGGGGAUAACACUUAGAAAUAGGUGCUAAUACCGCAUAAGCGCACGAAGCCGCAUGGAUUUGUGUGAAAAACUCCGGUGGUGUAAGAUGGACCCGCGUCUGAUUAGCUUGUUGGCGGGGUAACGGCCACCAAGGCGACGAUCAGUAGCCGGCCUGAGAGGGUGGACGGCCACAUUGGGACUGAGACACGGCCCAAACUCCUACGGGAGGCAGCAG
rnacentral:rRNA from 1 species